CAGUUUGCUCAGUGGCAGUAUGGUAGCCAAUGAGGUUUAACCGAGUUGCGAUUGUUGCUCAUUGAAAACUCUAAGACUCAGUUUCUCCAUCUACAAAAUGAGGGAAGUGUAUUUCCCCUCCCCACCUCCCACCCCCGAUUUCAUAGGGA
rnacentral:snRNA from 1 species